rnacentral:rRNA from 1 species
CGCUGGCGGCGUGCCUAACACAUGCAAGUCGAACGGAACUAUUUGAAGAAUCUCUUCGGAGUGACGGAUUUUUAGUUAGUGGCGGACGGGUGAGUAACGCGUGAGUAACCUGCCUCUGAGAGGGGAAUAACGUUCUGAAAAGAACGCUAAUACCGCAUAACAUAUAUUUGCCGCAUGACAGAUAUAUCAAAGAUUUUUAUCGCUCAGAGAUGGACUCGCGUCCGAUUAGUUAGUUGGUGAGGUAACGGCUCACCAAGACCGCGAUCGGUAGCCGGACUGAGAAGGUUGAUCGGCCACAUUGGGACUGAGACACGGCCCAGACUCCUACGGGAGGCAGCAGUGGGGGAUAUUGACGCAAUGGGGGCAAACCCCCUGAACGCAGCAACGUCCGCGUGAAGGACGAAGGUCUUCGGAUUGUAAACUUCUUUUGUCAGGGACGAAAUUUGACGGUACCUGACGAAUAAGCUCCGGCUAACUACGUGCCAGCAGCGGC